CAGCCGCCGCGGUAAUACGAAGGGUGCAAGCGUUACUCGGAAUUACUGGGCGUAAAGCGUGUGUAGGUGGUUGUUUAAGUCUGUCGUGAAAGCCCUGGGCUCAACCUGGGAAUUGCGAUGGAUACUGGGCGACUAGAGUGCGGUAGAGGAUAGUGGAAUUUCCGGUGUAGCAGUGAAAUGCGUAGAGAUCGGAAGGAACAUCUGUGGCGAAGGCGACUAUCUGGGCCAACACUGACACUGAGACACGAAAGCGUGGGGAGCAAACAGGAUUAGAUACCCCUGUAGUCCCUGUCUCUUAUAC
rnacentral:rRNA from 1 species